rnacentral:rRNA from 1 species
AUUGAACGCUGGCGGCAGGCCUAACACAUGCAAGUCGAGCGGAGCGGCGGACGGGUGAGUAAUGCCUAGGAAUCUGCAUGGUCGUGGGGGAUAAGGUCCGGAAACGGGCGCUAAUACCGCAUCCUAUCAGAUUCGCCUAGGUCGGAGUAGCGAGUUGGUGGGGUAAGGGCAUACCAAGGCGACGAUCCGUAACUGGUCUGAGAGGAUGAUCAGUCACACUGGAACUGAGACACGGUCCAGACUCCUACGGGAGGCAGCAGUGGGGAAUAUUGGACAAUGGGCGAAAGCCUGAUCCAGCCAUGCCGCGUGUGUGAAGAAGGCCUUCGGAUUGUAAAGCACUUUAAGUUGGGAGGCGUUACCAACAGAAUAAGCACCGGCUAACUCCGUGCCAGCAGCCGCGGUAAUUC